rnacentral:rRNA from 1 species
UACACUCCUGCGGGAGGCAGCAGUGGGGAAUAUUGGACAAUGGGCGCAAGCCUGAUCCAGCCAUGCCGCGUGAGUGAUGAAGGCCCUAGGGUUGUAAAGCUCUUUCACCGGUGAAGAUAAUGACGGUAACCGGAGAAGAAGCCCCGGCUAACUUCGUGCCAGCAGCCGCGGUAAUACGAAGGGGGCUAGCGUUGUUCGGAUUUACUGGGCGUAAAGCGCACGUAGGCGGACUAUUAAGUCAGGGGUGAAAUCCCGGGGCUCAACCCCGGAACUGCCUUUGAUACUGGUAGUCUUGAGUUCGAGAGAGGUGAGUGGAAUUCCGAGUGUAGAGGUGAAAUUCGUAGAUAUUCGGAGGAACACCAGUGGCGAAGGCGGCUCACUGGCUCGAUACUGACGCUGAGGUGCGAAAGCGUGGGGAGCAAACAGGAUUAGAUACCCGUGUAGUCCCAUGAU